UGAGGAAUAUUGGUCAAUGGGCGGCAGCCUGAACCAGCCAUCCCGCGUGAAGGAAGAAUGCGCUAUGCGUUGUAAACUUCUUUUUCAGGGGGAUAAAAUUUUGUAUGUAUACAGAACUGAAGGUACCCUGAGAAUAAGCAUCGGCUAACUCCGUGCCAGCAGCCGCGGUAAUACGGAGGAUGCGAGCGUUAUCCGGAUUUAUUGGGUUUAAAGGGUGCGUAGGCGGAAGAAUAAGUCAGUGGUGAAACCCUGCAGCUUAACUGUAGACUUGCCAUUGAUACUGUUUUUCUUGAGUAUGGUCAAGGCAGGCGGAAUGUGUAAUGUAGCGGUGAAAUGCUUAGAUAUUACACAGAACACCGAUAGCGAAGGCAACUUGCUGGGCCGUUACUGACGCUGAUGCACGAAAGCGUGGGGAUCGAACAG
rnacentral:rRNA from 1 species